GGGGCUGUAGCUCAGAUGGGAGAGCGCUGCAAUCGCACUGCAGAGGCCAGCGGUUCGAUUCCGCUCAGCUCCACCA
rnacentral:tRNA from 19 species